GCCCCUAUUUCAUCAUACGUGUUCCUAAAACUCAUCAUAAAUGUUCCUCUUUCUCAUCCUACCUUUCCCUGAAACUCAUCAUACAUGUUCCUCUAUCUAUCUCAUCAUACCUGUUCCUCUAUCUAUCUCAUCAUACCUGUUCCUCUAUCUAUCUAUCAUACCUGUUCCUCUAUCUAUCUCAUCAUACCUGUACCUCUAUCUAUCUCAUCAUACCUGUUCCUCUAUCUAUCUCAUCAUACCUGUUCCUCUAUCGAUCUAUCAUACCUGUUCCUCUAUCUAUCUCAUCAUACCUGUUCCUCUAUCUAUCUCAUCAUACCUGUUCCUCUACCCAACUCAUCAUAUGUGUUCCUCUAUCUAUCACAUCAUACAUGUUCCUCUGUCUAUCUCAUCAUACCUGUUCCUCUAUCCAACUCAUCAUACCUGUUCCUCUAUCUCAUCAUACCUGUUUCUCUAACUAUCAUACCCUAUUCCUCUAACUAUCAUACAUUUUCCUCUAUCUAUCUCAUCAUACCUGUUCCUCUAACUAUCAUACCUGUUCCUCUAACUAUCAUACCUGUUCCUCUAUCUCAUGAUACCUGUUCCUCUGUCUAUCUCAUCAUACCUGUUCCUCUAUCCAACUCAUCAUACCUGUUCCUCUAUCUCAUCAUACCUGUUUCUCUAACUAUCAUACCCUAUUCCUCUAACUAUCAUACAUUUUCCUCUAUCUAUCUCAUCAUACCUGUUCCUCUAACUAUCAUACCUGUUCCUCUAUCUAACUCAUCAUACCUGUUCCUCUAUCUAUCUCAUCAUACCUGUUUCUCUAACUAUCAUACCUGUUCCUCUGUCUAUCUCAUCCUCGCUGUCAGUCUGUCUCUACAUAUGCAUAGUCUCAGCAGGGGAGGUGAUGAUAACAAUGCUCAGACACAAGGUUCAUGGAGAGGAGAGUCUCGGGGGUAUCAACAUGUUUGCUACAGCAGGAAAAUAGUCCUGCAGUAACAGGAAAUGUAAAUGUGGAUUAUAAUGAAUGUACAUUUUUUAAGCAGUUUAUAUAUUUCUUGUUGGGGCAAAUU
rnacentral:lncRNA from 13 species